rnacentral:miRNA from 1 species
CUCGGCACCUGCCCGCAGCGCUAGGCCGGCUGCGCGAGCCGGCGGUGGCGGAGGCGGGGGAGGGG